AAGUCGUAACAAGGUUUCCGUAGGUGGAAUCCUCGGAAGGGAUCAUUAAAGAAUUCGGCUUCGCGGCCAAGUUCUCACCCUUUGUCAUACCGGAAACCAUGGUUGCUUGGCGCCCCUGCUUUCUCGGGCCUGCCAGAGGUUAUAAACCCUAGAAUCUCUGCUGUCUGAGUACUAUGCAAUAGUUAAAA
rnacentral:misc_RNA from 1 species